AAAGAUUUUCAAUAAGCGGGAUCCAAAAAUCAUUAUUGUAGCUGGAAAAUCAUUGAGGAGGCAAAACACUUAACCAAAUUUCUAGUUUGUCCGCCAAAUUAAAACUUAGCUCAUCUUUUUUUCCUCUAAGAACAACAUUUAUACAAAAAAAAGAAAAUUCAAUUCAUUUAUCCCUAAUCUAAAUCAAAGAAAAGUUCCCCUCUUCUCUCCACUUCUCCUCUCUCUCCGAUCUCUACUCUCCCUCUCAGUCCCAGUCUCCGUCUCUCCACGUCCGCUCGUCGGCAAUUUCUCUUCCUUCGCCGCCACCACUUUCUCCUCCAUCAUCUCAGCCGCCGUCACCGGAGGUGGCCAUUCACGGGGUUGCCAAACUGAGUCUCAUGACCAGAAACUCGCCAAAUCCUUGACCUUUCCUCACUUAAUCACAAUUGGUGUUGGAUCAAAAAUUGGAGCAGGGGUUUAUAUUCUUGUGGGAACAGUGGCGAGAGAGCAUUCAAGACCUGCUCUAGCCUUUUCAUUCUUUAUAGCUGGUGUUUUUAUAGCACUCUCUAGUCUUUUUCCUUCAGCUGGAAGUGCCUAUCACUAUACUCUUACAUUUGCAUUGGUGAAGGGUAUCAUUUCACUUGCUUGUUUAGUUAUCUAGCAGUUUGUUGCGGUAAGGAUUUGGAGCUUUUGAAGUUUUGUUUAUGAAUUUUGUGGGAUUCUGCAGAGUUGCGUGGUUAAUUGGCUGACACUGAUUCUGGAAUACACUCUUGGUGGUUCAACUGUUGCUCGUGGCAUAUCUCUAGAUCUGGUAUUAUGAUGCCCUUUGACUAAUAUAUUCUGCAAACGGUUAUGAUGGAUUUCUCUUAUUUUCUUGGGCAGAUUAGUACCUGCAAUGGCUUUUACUGUUACCAAUUCACACCUAAUUCGCCAGACAAACCCAAGAUUUGGACUGAGAACUGGCCUAGAUGGUAAGUAGAUUGGUCUUUGGUUCCGCUAACAUUUCCUUGAAUUCAGUUUCCAUACAAAGUUGGAGUCUUUUGGAGAUUCUUGUUCAUUAGCAGGUGAAUCUGAUUUUUGCGGUCUGAAAAGACUUGUUCUUUUCUUCUACGUUUAAAACUUUUGGAGGCAGAGACCCUCACAGACCAGCAGACGAGGAAGUUAGUUAGCUCUGUAUCAUUUUGUAAUCUAAAUGGAUUUUUGUUGUAUGUUAGUAUCACGGAGGAACGAAUUUUGGACGUACUUCAGGAGGACCUUUUAUCACUACGAGCUAUGACUAUGAAGCUCCGACUGAUGAGUAUGGUGAGUUUGUACUUUGUAAAAAAGAAGAUCACUAUGUAAUGAGAUCACUAUGUAAAGAAGAUCACUUUAUUAUAUUUAGCAUUUUGCAACUUUUUA